rnacentral:lncRNA from 1 species
UAACUUCAAUGUCUGAAAGAUUUUGAUGGUGUUGCUACGGAGAGAAGGUUAAAUCCAUGUAAUUAAUGGGAAGUAUCCGAUGGUACUAUAUUGCGGAGAAAUGACUUUAAACUUGUUUGAAUUCAAAAAUUUAGGAAAAGUUUCAAACUUGAUUUUGAAAACAGCUCUGCCACUUAAUUUAUUUGAAACGGAAAUUAAGAAAACUUGAAGAAAAUUCUAAGUCCUAAAAUAGAAAAAGACUUGAAUUUUUUAAGAAAUUCCGGAUAAGAGGUUCCUAUUAACACCUCAAAAAGGAUUUUAAGGCAUCCGAAAUAUCCGCUAAUACAUGGUUUUUUUAUUAACUUUGAAAAGCAAAUAUUUUUACUUAGAAAAGAAAGAAUUAAAGAAAAAUUUAUUUGAAAAUGGAUGCAAAACAAGAUUUAAGCAAACUUGAUGGAGAUAUUAACUAAGUUAAAAUUAGUAGAAAAUAAACGAAGAUAAGUGAAUCUAGGCCUUUGAGAGGCCCAAACUCAAUUAAGUCUCUAUCCUAAUCUAAUCAAGUUUUUGACUGCACCUGUCCUAAUUUAAUAAUUCGGGCUUUUGGCUACAAUCGGUCCUAAAUUAUUUCUUGGACCUUUAAAGCCCAAAAUCUGCUCCACCUAUAUAAAAUUAUAAAUUGAGAUUUGAGAUCCAUGAACCAUAAACUUUAAGACUUUUUGAGUCUCAAAAUAGCUAGCAUCUUCAAAUUAAAUGGGCUUUGACCCAUUUUUCUUCAACAUGUACGCCAUGCAUCAAUGUUGGGCAGUUCAUUUGGGCUUGGGUUUUAGGGUUGACUGGAUGGAAAUGGAUCUCCUUAGCCCAUAUGAGUAAUGAAAAAAGGAGAAGAGUUCAAUCGAACUUCCAACAAGUUCACAUGCCACAAGUAAAGGUAAAGCAUUAAUAUUCAUCUGAAAUACAAAGCGACAUACUAAAAACAAAAUAAAGAAACUUGUCAUGAAUUCAAUUUAAACGACAAAACAAAAGAAAUGAUAGUAAUGCCAAGAUAAGAAUGCAUAUACAAUGUUGAGAAGAAAUGAAAAACAACAGAUUGAAUGACACAUAUUUGCAUACUUCAUGAUUUUCAUAUCCAGAUAAAAGAAAAAGAAACGGCUAUGGAUAUUGCAGCAAAGGCAAUAAAUUUCAAGAGGAAAAAAAUUUGACAAAAAGAUAGUUGCAAGAAAGAAAUAGGACAUGGGCAUGUUGAUAUUUCUCCUUGUAAGCGCAAAGAAAUAUCUAAAAAUUAUAAAUACACAAUUUAUCUUUUCAAUAUUAUAAAAAAUCUCAACUCCCUGAACAUAUUACAAAAAUUCCACAUAUACACAGAAUGUUAUGUAUAUAUCAGCUAUGUUAUGUAUAUUAAUAGAAAAAGAAAGUAAAGUAAUUAAAAAAAUGAGAAAUGAAAGAUAGUAUAAUUACUUUUAAAAGGUUGGUAUUUAUGUUAUUUAUACAAGAAAUAUUCCGGUUAUGUAGCCGAAGGAAAUAUUUUGGCCCAUUAUCAAGCUGUCCAACUUUUGGACUUUAUUCUCAUGGACCUUGAUCCAUUUUAAUAUCUCGUAUAUCAGUUGUAUAUCAAAGCUUUCUUUCACUCAUUUUUCCUGUAUAUCCAAUGUAUUUUGGGAGGUAUAUCAGCCCAACGGUGAACCUUAACAUCAGCAUCUUCAGGUUCCUGACCCAUUUUCCAAUUUUGCAUCCUAUAUAUUAGUAUCUCUCUCAUAUAUCUUUUGUAUAUCGCCGCAGAUCAGUCCCAUUUUGGGACUUUGACAUGGGAUUUUGACUUGAAGGAAUGAGACUUAGUCUCAUAGAUGCAGGGGGUUGGAGUCCAAUGGAUUCAAUGACAUACGUGUGUCAAAGAAAAUACAUAAAAUUAGUACAAGUCCAACAUAAUUCAUCCAAAGUGAAAGAACAGAAAGAAAAUGAACAAUAAGUCAUUUAAAAUUUCAUCCAUAUAAUGUCAUUUUCAAUCAAUUCAAACAUAAAAGAAGAUACUAUGCCGAUUGAGGGAAAAAAUAGAAGAACAGGCACAUUUUAAAUUUUCAGGAAAAUGAUCAAGUUAAGGAAGGUAUAAAUAUCAAAUGAAACAUACAUAUUUGUCCUUUACCUUUAGAAAAAAUUUCACCAUAUCUUCUGAAAAUGACAGAACAUGGUAACAUGAAAAUCGUAAAUAAAGCAGAACAUGAAAACAUAAAAUAAAACUUUAAGAUGGUUAUUUGUUAUCUUUUUCGGGGAAAUCAAUCGGGGCUUCAAAACUUCAUCGGAACAACUUCCACUGUAGUUUCAAUUCGCUAUUGGAAUUUUAAUCGAUUUGAGUGAAUUAUUGAGAGUUCUCAAAUUUCUUGGUUAUGUAGGGUUAGAGGUAUGCACCUUCAAAACCCACAAGUUUUUUCCCCAAAAAAAAUUUCUAUCCCUCUCAGGAAAAGAUUGGCCCUUAAUCUCAUGUAUUUAAAGCAGAAAAUAUUGAUUUAAAUUCGAAAAAUAGCUUUGAGUGGGGGAUAAGAGGUUGAUUGAUAAAGAUGAAGAAAAAUAUCAGUGGGAGAAAAACAUAUCCCCAAAAUUCAGAUUCAAAUUUAUGGCUCCUAACUUAGAUUAGAUUUUGACAAGAAACAAAGAAUUUCUCUAAGAAAAAGUCAGCAAUCGAAGCUCGAGAUCUUAGGAUUUCAGAUGAAGAGAGAAAGAGAGAGAUUUUCGUGAUUUAGUGGUACGUUCGGUUGAGUUUUUCAGUGUCCAUAAUUUGCGGUUGUAUUGUUGUACACGUUUGAAGCAGAAGGAGAAAAGGAUUAAAUGAAUUGACCAGGUCAGAUGAUUUUUAGGCUCUUUGGGAGUGGCGUGAUUGGGUAAAGCUGUUGUUAUUGUUGGAAUGUUGGGCUAGGGGAUAGGAAAUAUU